UGAUUCCAAAGUGUCCACAGACCAAAUUUAGGUCACAAGUGAAGAAGAAUGUGAAAAGAUCCACAAUCAAGCAAUCCAAAGUUGAUCUCUUGCUCUGGCUGGAAUAUCUGCUCAUGAUGCAAAGACUAGCAAAUGCAGCACAGGAUGCAGCAAAGGAAGAUAAAGUCCCCACAGUUUCUGCUGUACACAUACAAAAAGUCAAGAAGGAGGUGAUGAAGUCAUUAAAGGGUUGAAGAUCAUCAGAGGAAUGGAUGAAGAUGAUGAAGAGAAAAAAAAGCAGCCCUCUUUUUGAAGAUGUAUUGAAUCAUCUGUGAAAGGAUAUACUUCAAAGAUGCAGAACAUGUACACUGACUUUUAUGGAUGUUCUGGCAGCUCUACAAUGGAAGUUUUUCAUGUCAACUUCAUAUUGUAUUGUUAGAUUCUUGGUUUAAUCAUGAACAGUCACAUUGUAUUAUGAAGAAUCUGAUUGUACAAAUCAAUUGUUGCUGAGACUAAAUUAAUCUGGAUUCUUUUUAAACACAAAAUUUUAUACUUUUUCUGAAUGCAAUAUAUUGAAGCAGAUACUGACAUUUCAUUUAGAAAGGAUUGUGUACAUUAUAAGUACUUUUAUUGAUAUGACAAUAACUUGGUGUUUAUGUGUCGAUUAUGUGAUCUACAGUAUAUAAACCAUUGGUGACAUAUUUACUUAUUUACUGUAAAUAGUAACGAAUGUUGUUAACAUGUUAGAGAGAUGAUGAUAAUCUUACUUAUAUAUAAUCAAAGAUGGUCUGUUUAUGAAACUUAUUUAUUCUCUGUUGGAUGUGGUAAAGAAGAUUUUUCUGGUUUUGUUGUUUCUUUUAAGUGGCAAAAUAUUUCGACAUUAUGAAUAAAAUGUUUUAAGAAAUAUUGGGUCCAA